AGAGAAUAGAUACCCGGGUAGUCCACGCCGUAAACGUUGGGCACUAGGUGUGGUUCCAACCAACGGAAUCCGCGCCGUCGCUAAACGCAUUAAAGUGCCCCGCCUGGGGAGUACGGCGGCAACGCUAAAACUCAAAGGAAUUGACGGGGGCCCGCACAAGCAGCGGAGCGUGUUGCUUAAUUCGAUGCAACGCGAAGAACCUUACCUGGGUUUGACAUGCUCGGAAAAAGCCGUAGAGAUACGGUGUCCUUCGGGGCCGAGUACAGGUGGUGCAUGGCUGUCGUCAGCUCGUGUCGUGAGAUGCUGGGUUAAGUCCCGCAACGAGCGCAACCCUUAUCCUAUGUUGCCAGCACGUAAUGGUGGGGACUCGUGGGAGACUGCCGGGGUCAACUCGGAGGAAGGUGGGGACGACGUCAAGUCAUCAUGCCCCUUAUAUCCAGGGCUGCAAACACGCUACAAUGGCCGGUACAGAGGGCUGCAAGCUCGUGAGAGUGAGCGAAUCCCGCAAAGCCGGUCUCAGUUCGGAUUGAAGG
rnacentral:rRNA from 1 species